rnacentral:rRNA from 1 species
UAUGAAUCGAAGGUGUUAGAAGCAAAUAGACAACGGAACAAGACCACAACCAGGACUAAUUGCGGGGCUAAAAUGAGGCUGAAGAGGGAAAAGGAUGGAACACUUGUCGUAAAAGAGAUAGUCUGGGAACACAACCACAGGCUGCAGCUCUCCCCCCAAAUGCUUGACUUCUUGCACUCCCACAAAAACUUUGACAAAACACUUGACUACAGCUCUCUGCAGUUCAAAGGCAUUGAACAUGCGCAAAUCAUGAGCAUACUGGGCGACGAUGACCCCGGUAGAUACUUCCUCGAAAUGAAUGCCAAAGACCUGAUUAACAUCAAAGCAAAGAAUUCAAGGAUGGAUGAUAUGGACGAUGUCCUAAAGACUGUCAACUUCUUUAGGUAGAUGAAAGCGAUAAACAGGGAAUUCUUCUGUGACAUACAAGCGAACGCAAGCUGCCGAGGGGCGUAUCAAGACUUUGGUGACUGCGUAAUGUUUGACACCUCAUAUAAGACCAACAAGUACCAUAUGCCACUUGGGGUGUUUGUGGUAAACAACCACUUACAGACUACAUUCUUUGCUUUCGCCCUGAUAAGAGAUGAGGAUGCAGAUUCAUUCAGAUGGCUGUUCAAAACAUUUUUAAGGUGCAUGAGAGGGAAGGCUCGUAUAUGCAUCCUCACAGACCAGUGCCCGGCAAUGGCUUUGGCGAUCCCAGAUGCUUUCGGGAACACAAUACACAAGCUGUGCCGCUGGCACAUUAUGAAGAAGUACAGGGAACACCUCGCACACCUGUACAACCUCCACGAAGACUUUAAGGAUGAAUUCACAACAAUCCUCAACUGGCCCCUCAUGCCAACUGAGUUUGAGGCUGCCUGGAAAGCACUCAUGGAUAAGUACAACCUCCGUGAUGAUGCCACGAUGGUGGCAAUGUGGAACGAGCGCAAGAGAUGGAUAUCAGCUUACUUCAAAGAAAUUUUAUGUGCCAAAAUGAUGUCCACACAAUAGAGUGAGAGCAUGAACUAUGUGCUCAAGAAGAACUUCGUAAGUCAGAGACAAAACCUGCACUGGUUUGUCAGCCAGGUAAACUCCCGCGUCAAAACCAGGAGGCAGACAGAGUACCAGGAGACAAUGGGUAACCGGGUAUAG